rnacentral:lncRNA from 1 species
UACGGAUACAUGUUACAAAGAGCAGUUUGCCAUCAAGCAACACAUGCUUAUGAUCUAAGAACACUAUCUGCGAUGUUGACAUUCUGAUUUGAAUGAUUUCCUGUCAGAUUUGAUUCCUACAAGCAACACAGUGCCAACAGUACAUCAGAACAAAUCACUACAAGCCUACACACCACACAACAAAAGGUCCAAGUCAAGAACAGAUCAGUACAAGGCUACAAUCAGCAGACAACAAAAUCGAUAGCUAGCAACCAACUGGACAACACAAGUUACACGUGCGGCAAUUAGUAGUUUAGUACUCCCUCCGUAAACUAAUAUAAAAGUGUUUAGAUCAUUAUUUUAGUAAUCUAAACACUCUUAUAUUAGUUUACAGAGGGAGUACUUAGUAGACCAACACCACACAUUAGCAUCAGCAAAGUGCACAGGUAGGAGCAGCAGCUUGCGGGGGCAUUCGACAGUAGCAGCAAUAAUCAGCACCACUAGUAGGCAGCAGCACCAGAGCAAGUAGCGGCAUCGGCAGAAGCAGCAGCAGAGCAACCAGCAUCAGCAGCAACGGAACAUAGCGAGCAACUCCACCUCGCACCAAAAGGAAGAGAGCUCACUACGAGGUGGCAGGAGCAAAUCGAGGCAGGAGGAAGUAGUAGUGCUCCGGCGCGCGAGGUGGAUGAGCUCUCAGUCCAUUAGCCGACGAUGCAAAGUGGAGGAGAUCCGACCCCGGCAGCUGAAGGCGCGAGGAGAAGCUUCAGCGGCAGUCGGCGGCGCCAGGAGAUCCGCAGGCGCGA